GCCAUAUUUCCUCUCGCUCCUACUGAAAAGCCAAUUGUCCCGGUUGAUAUAUUAUCGAAUAGAUAUUUGAAAAACACCCUGAGGAUUGAUUAUAAAAAAACGUUUGCCAUGUUUCUGUCGAUAUUAUGGAUCUAAUUUGGAGUUUUUUUCGGCGUUGUCGUGACUGCAAUUUCCGGUGGAUUUCUCAACAAAACGUGGACAAGAAACGGAGGUAUUUUGGCUAUAAAAAUCCUCUUUAUGAGGAUUUUCGUGAGUGAAAACAUCCAAAGCUCAUCAAAGCAGGCAAUUAUAAACUGGUUUGCCAACGUUAUUAAAACAGUAAAAAUACUUUUUGUCAUACCC
ensembl:lncRNA